rnacentral:rRNA from 1 species
AGUGAACGCUGGCGGUAGGCCUAACACAUGCAAGUCGAACGGCAGCACAGUAAGAGCUUGCUCUUACGGGUGGCGAGUGGCGGACGGGUGAGGAAUACAUCGGAAUCUACUUUUUCGUGGGGGAUAACGUAGGGAAACUUACGCUAAUACCGCAUACGACCUACGGGUGAAAGCAGGGGAUCUUCGGACCUUGCGCGAUUGAAUGAGCCGAUGUCGGAUUAGCUAGUUGGCGGGGUAAAGGCCCACCAAGGCGACGAUCCGUAGCUGGUCUGAGAGGAUGAUCAGCCACACUGGAACUGAGACACGGACCAGACCCCUAGGGGAGGCAGCAGUGGGGAAUAUUGGACAAUGGGCGCAAGCCUGAUCCAGCCAUACCGCGUGGGUGAAGAAGGCCUUCGGGUUGUAAAGCCCUUUUGUUGGGAAAGAAAAGCAGCAGGUUAAUACCCCGCUGUUCUGACGGUACCCUAAGAAUAAGCACCGGCUAACUUCGUG